rnacentral:lncRNA from 1 species
AUUUUAUUAUAUGUCCCCGGUGAUAUGGACACAAGUGGUUCUGUCCCCAUUUUCCAGGAGACACCGGGCCAGGGCUCCUGGAUCUUUCCUAGUGGCCUGUGUGACUUUCUGCUCCAGCAGUGCUGGACUGUCACAGGAAACGGCCGGGCGAAGCGACCACCGCUGCCUCGGAGAUCAAAGCCCUGCAGCAGACCCGGAGGCUCCUAGCGAACGCCAGGGAGCGGACGCGGGUGCACACGAUCAGUGCAGCCUUCGAGGCGCUCAGGAAGCAGGUGCCGUGUUACUCCUACGGGCAGAAGCUGUCCAAACUGGCCAUCCUGCGGAUCGCCUGUAA